rnacentral:rRNA from 1 species
UCGGGAAUUUUGCGCAAUGGACGAAAGUCUGACGCAGCAACGCCGCGUGAGGGAUGAAGGCCUUCGGGUUGUAAACCUCUUUUCUCAGGGAAGAUAAUGACGGUACCUGAGGAAUAAGCCACGGCUAACUACGUGCCAGCAGCCGCGGUAAUACGUAGGUGGCGAGCGUUGUCCGGAUUUACUGGGCGUAAAGAGCGCGCAGGCGGUCGUGCAAGUCGCGUGUGAAAGCCCCCGGCUCAACUGGGGAGGGUCACGCGAUACUGCUCGACUCGAAGGCAGGAGAGGGAAGUGGAAUUCCCGGUGUAGUGGUGAAAUGCGUAGAUAUCGGGAGGAACACCAGUGGCGAAGGCGACUUCCUGGCCUGUUCUUGACGCUGAGGCGCGAAAGCUAGGGUAGCAAACGGG